UGGGAAGGCAUUGUGACAUCAUUGGUCAUGUGGCUUGGGUUUGACAUGCUAGCGAUACUUCCCCCAGACAGUACCCCAGCCCUGUAAGUUCUUCGUGUUCUUUCCUGUAUAACACUGCCACAAGUGUAGAGGAAAAACCUGCGACUGAGUGAAUGACUGGAAGCAUCACUCCAGCCCCUGGCCUGAGAGUUGCGUUGGUCUGGACUCCAACUCCCAGCCUGCCAAGCCUUCACUCCUCCCCAGGGAGGGUCAGGACCACUCCCACAGCUUUUUAGGCGGGGGGGGGGGGGGGGGGUGUAAAUUACUUGGUCUCUAGGGUGUGUGUGGGCUCCUCUUCUUGCCAUGCUGUCCUCGUCCACCUGAGAGUGCUGCAUUUAUUAAACAUGGGCAUUUUAA